GUAACCCUGGUGAUGGAGAACUGCAGGAACCAUGGGGGCCUCUUCUCCACACAGCUGCCACAGCUGUCUGAAACUCAAUACGGGGAGAAAGUCACUUCACAGGUGGCAAUGGACAAUGUAUCACCCGGAAGAAGAAAGAUGAUUCCCCCCCCCCACUUUUUUUUAUAAAUCUAUAACGUUUAGGGAAUGGCUGAAAGUCUUUUCAGAUCUUGAUCAAAACGGACACAGUUCAAAAUGUUAGAUACACAAAAUCGAGGAUAAAGAGACUGAAAAGGAGACUGACAGCUUGAUGGAUAAGCGGCUAGAACUGGAGGGAGGUUGCCAGCACCUACAGCAAGCCUGGUGGGUGUGGCCGUCCUUCCCCCAGCUUCCUCUGUGGUCUAUAAUCCUAGGGUUUCAGGCAGAGGGAGAAUCCUUAAGUCAAGCCGGUCAGCUAGACUAGCGGAACCAAUUAGCUCUGGGCUCCGUGAGAGACCCCACACCAGUAAAUAAAGUGGUUCACCCCAUCCCAUGGGGCUCUCGCAGGCCAAGAGAAGGACAUUGGCUUUCUCCUGUAUGCCACGGGAAGUGCUUGUAGGUCUUUGAAGCACAGGGGCUGUGACGGGAACUAAAUUACUUCAAAGGUUUGGAAGGGCAUCCAAAAACUCAGUGAUCAAGAUUCAUUAUAUUUUUAAAAAGGAAGUGAAUGUAAAAGUUCCCGAUGAACAAAAUCCAGUCGUUCUUUUAUGUUAAGUGAGACACUGAAUGGAAGAUUGGAUAAAUAAAGCAUUCUAACUUUUAAAUUGCGUGCCAUUCUGAGAAGCCUGAUGAGUUCUGUGUCGGGAGGGCUCCAUUCCAUCUGGAGCAUUCGCUACCCUGUGUGAGGUGUGUCCACGCAGUACACACUGCCAGCCGGACGUUUCUCAUUUGCUGCCUCCUCUACUCCUCCGUCUCCCUUCUGAAUUUCUCUCCUCUACACACAACUUCUCUCUGCCCCAGCUUCUGUACCAGAGAUUCCCGGUCUGCCACUCAGAAGCGCCAUUUCAUAGACACGAAGACUCUAGCCUCUUCUACCUAUCUUAGGCAGGCUGCUUUUUGCCCCACCUUUCAGACUACUAGCUCUUCUUAGAGAGUCCUCUGAAUUAGUCAUGUUUUCAUCAAUCUGACGAAUACCGGUUUUAGUGAGUGCUGACCAGCUCUGCUGUUUCUGGGCCUGAGAUGAGAAGGACACAUUGGAUCAGAGCUGCUUACCUCAUGGUAGUCGGGGAGCAGAGAUGUGAACAGAAAAGGCUCCAGUAAGAUACAAACCCCAGGAGUCACCUAACUCCUCCACCUAACCUCUGCCUCCUAACAUUUCCAGCACCUUCUUAAAUAGCACUGCAUAGUGGUAACCAAGCCUGGAACCCGUGGGCCCAUGGGGGCAUUUCCUGUCCAUAGUCUCACAUCCUAGACACAACAUUCUAUCUGAGCACAUUCUAUCAUAUGGAUGUCUUCCGUAGUUAGAGCUCCUUUUCUGAUACGUCAUUAUAAACAUUCCCAUCCCUUCUGAA